CUCAGGAGUCUUUCAGGGUUGUUUCAACCCUUCGCUCGCCACAAUCUUGAGGCUGUGAGAGAAAAAGUUUUGAGGAUCCUGAGGUCUAAAUGUGUGAAGUGCCCAAGAACUGACCCUGGACUCGUGGAAUAGAGCACCAGAUGAUAUUACCUGAAGGCUGCUUUGUGGUUAUGAGGUCUGAAGGGUAUUUAUCAUUGUUCUUCAUCUGAUGUUAUACUCAGUGCAACCAAGCUUCUUUAUUGCUGCCCUCUUCUGGAUGAAGUCACAAAAUUGGCAUGCCAUGAAACAAGGCGCAAGGGUACCCAAAGAGGUGAUGGGGACCCCCAACUCUCCUCCCAAACUCUACAAAAACAGUGUGGCCAUCUGACUGAACUACUGGCAGUGGAAUUUAAGAAGAAACAAAUGUGUUAUUUCCAAGCCCAGGGUUUUAAGAAGAGGAUGUGGCUUCAGAGUGCUGUUACGCUCCUAUUACUUUGAUGCAGAAGAUGUAGAGACUUUAAGGGAUGGCACCCCUCACAAAGCAGAAGGAUCUUUCUAUCAUGAAAUACAUGGAUAAAAACUGCCUCCAAAUCAGAAGUGUAGGAACCAGCCUACUAGCUGAGCUUAAACCUGACCAAGGGGUGACAAG
rnacentral:lncRNA from 1 species